GUGUUUGCUUCAGGGACACAUAUACUAAAACCGGAAUAAAACAGAAAGAUAAGCAUGGUCCCUGUGCAAGGAUGACCCCCAAAUUCAUAAAGUAUUCCACAUUCCU
ensembl:snRNA U6 U6 spliceosomal RNA